rnacentral:lncRNA from 1 species
CUCUUUUUCAAAUCGAUUGAACUAGGUGAGCUGAACCCCAACUUCAAUUGGCUUAGGCGCACGCCUAGGCUCAAGCACGGGCUCGAUUCGCGUCCAUUCAAAUCACCUCACCUGAACCAUCUUCGAGCGCUCUUUUUCAAAUCGAUUGAACCAGGUGAGCUGAACCCCAACUUCAAUUGGCUUAGGCACACACCUAGGCUCAAGCCGGGCUCGAUUCACGUCCAUUCAAAUCACCUCACCUGGACCAUCUUCGAGCGCUCUUUUUCAAAACGCUUGAGCGCCUUUUCAGAACACUGAGUGAACCACAAAACAACUAUCAAGAUAUCAAAGCAGAGUCAUCGAUCAAAUAAUAUCUUUCAAAACCUAAACCAAGGUUUAUGGCCAAAGGGUUUCGUAACAUCUCCAUUAGCUCGAUGCGGCAGUACCAUAGAGCUAUCAAGGAUGCAAGGGAGGUUAUCAAAGCGAAUCUAUACAAUCGUUAUCAUAUUCUCUUAUUCUUAUUGAAUCAUGCCAUGUCAAUGCAACGUACCAUGCCAACUACCAGCGAUAUUACGUAAAUGAACUUUCAUUGAAUUAGAUAUUCUCAAAAAAAAAAAAAGAUCUGAUCUUCAAAGAAAUCUACGCGACAUGAAUCUACAACUGUUGAAUGUAAUGUGGCACAAUGGUGCCAAAUAAGUGGACUCAAGCUGAUAGCAGAAACUGUAAGCAGUAACAUGUGUGUGAAAACUAGGUCGUCACGCUGAAACAUAAUGUGUUUCCACAAAUUAGCCCAUUUGCACGCGGUCGAAGCUUAGGUGACAAAUUAAGGAUAUGCCGUAGGAGAAGGAAAGGAUGCGAGUUCCUCCUUGCUAACCUAUGAGGCUCACCCCAAACUUGGAACCUUGCACGGCUUUCCAAAUCCGAGGUCACCAAAGACUAUUGAUUUUUCGACUUGAAAGAUCAAUGCGGUGAGCGAUUCCUACCAGAAAAUGGUUCCUUUACACCUAUGUAGAAGUUUCGACUAGAUUAGCAACUCUUAGGCUGUUGAAUUCAAACUACUUCAUUUUCCCCAAGACAUCGCCAAGAAGGCAGAUGGAUGCAAGAAAUCCAUCAUCCAAAAGCAAACUUUAAGGAGCAAGGCCCGGAGUCGAGUCGACGAUUACUCUGGUAACCGAGAAGGGGGAAAAGAAAUCAAAGCAAAAGGAGGCGGAGCUAAAAGAGGCUUACGCAGGGAGAAAUUGUUGUGUCGUCGCCGUUGCUCGCCAGGCCCCAUGAGACGGGUGGGGUUAGUCGAUGGGUCGUCGUCGACCAUCUCGUACGUCUUGCUGACGAACGGCUCGAGUGAGCGGUGGCCGCGGAAGCCGUCGUUCGCCGCAUCGAUUCUUCCGCCGAGAUCAGAGGAGUUCCGAUCGAACCGAAGAAGGGUGGAGACGGGGAUUAGGGACGGUCGGAUAGCG